UACGUAGGGUGCAAGCGUUGUCCGGAAUUAUUGGGCGUAAAGAGCUCGUAGGCGGUUUGUCGCGUCGGCUGUGAAAACCUGGGGCUUAACUCCGGGCCUGCAGCCGAUACGGGCAGACUAGAGUUCGGCAGGGGAGACUGGAAUUCCUGGUGUAGCGGUGAAAUGCGUAGAUAUCUGGAGGAACACCGGUGGCGAAGGCGGCAUCCUGGACCGGUAUUGACGCUGAGGCGCGAAAGCCAGGGGAGCAAACGGG
rnacentral:rRNA from 1 species